GUGAGAGGGGGCUUGCCCCCCGAUGGCGAAGUGUCAGUCAACUUAUGUGUGACUGAUCCACCGCAAUCGGGGGCAAGCCCCCUCCCAC
rnacentral:misc_RNA from 1 species